rnacentral:rRNA from 1 species
UACGGGGGGGGCAAGCGUUGUUCGGAAUUACUGGGCGUAAAGGGCUCGUAGGCGGCCAACUAAGUCAGACGUGAAAUCCCUCAGCUUAACUGGGGAACUGCGUCUGAUACUGGAUGGCUUGGAUUCGGGAGAGGAAUGCGGAAUUCCAGGUGUAGCGGUGAAAUGCGUAGAUAUCUGGAGGAACACCGGUGGCGAAGGCGGCAUUCUGGACCGAUAUUGACGCUGAGGAGCGAAAGCCAGGGGAGCAAGCGGG